rnacentral:lncRNA from 1 species
CUUCCCUUGGGAGUGGUGGAAAAUUGUCCAGAAGGAGCUCGAAGAGAAGCAAAUCCAGUGGAAAUAGAUUUUCUUUCUCCAGUUUCUCAGCAAAAUUCUUAGCAUUCAUUCUUGGAUGAACCCAAACCACCUUUAUCUCUAAACUUGUUAGUGACUGAAUGGAAUGCGGUGCUUCUGUCGGAACAUCUUUAAGAUAUGUACAGCCCUGGGGUGUCUGAAGUAGAGUCAGCUCUAUUCAAAGGCCAAAAUCUGAGAGGGAAAAUGGAAUAGAUAUCAAAAGGAAGCUCAAAUGAUUUUGCUGAAGUCAAGAUGCUGAAUAAGUGAAGGCAAUAGGAGUCCAAUUGUUUUUGCUUUUUAUCUGUAAACUGGACUGGAUCCUGAAUUCUUCUAGGUCUCCUGAAAUAUCUGGCUAUAAAUCUCCAAACUAGCAUUUUCAAUUUUUUUUCCAUCAUUUUCAUUUGGAAUCUUGAGAGCUGAAACCACCCUUGUUCCUGAAGCCCUGAAAACUGCUUCUGGACAACUUGAUACAAACUUCAGAGAGAUUCAUGUCUGUUGCUGUGUAAGCCACUCAGAAAGAUACCUCAACAGCAGACGACAUCAUCAGAGACAUUUCAAACUGCAAAGGAUCUAGAAAUCUUCUUGACAGGCUGCCUGCUGGACUCAGAAAAUACAUUAUAAUCUUCUCCAAUCAUUAACCUUGUUUUCUUUUUGUUUCUCUAGAAAUGCUUCUCCAUAAAUACCUGGUUACUUGCUUACAAAAUGUAGGCCUAACUUUGGGAAGCCACCUGCACCAUCAUCUUACUAAGAGAUUGGUUCAGUGAGAUAGAACCAUCUACAUUACCAGCAGAAAGAACCUAGAAAAGUCAUCACGCUGUAUCACUCAAGACUCAAGACUGAGGAAUGAAGAAUAAGAAGGAGGAAUUUGUAACUGCGGGCCCCCCAGGACAGUUCAAUUGAUCCCAUCUUUUCAAAAGAGUCAUUAAGAGUGGUUUAUCAAGAACUGAGACCCCCUGGGAAAUCUUUAAUCUUUACAAAGUCAAGUGCUCCAACUUGUGGCAAAAUUGCUGAAAACCUAAAGGUUCCAGAAGCUGUAAAAGUUUACAAAGAACUGCAGAAUUUUACCAAGCUUCUUUUGUGUCCUGAGACCUUGGCUUGAUGAUCAUCAGGUUGGGGGGUUGGUCCCAAAAAUAUGAGUGGACGAAAAUGCAGUUACACCCAAUUUUGUGGUCAGAGAUGGUUGGACAGAAAUGUAGGUUGCACUCCUUUUUGUGACUAAGAGUCACGCUAAACUGCUGUCAUCCUCAGGGAAUUGCACUGGCCAUUGGAAGGGACAUUCCAAUAAGAUAACAUCAUUUAAAAGUGCACUUAAAUGUAAAGACUUGAAAAUUCCAAAGUAGCUUUAUUGAAAGUUUUGUUGCAAAAUGAAAAAAUUAAGUUAUAAAAGGUACCUAAAAGAAAAGCCUAAGAGGUCAUGGCUUUAGGGACAUCCUGUAAUCUACCUUCUAAGGAGAGUCCAAAAUGAGACCCUCUCAGAGUUAAAGAGACUCAGAGAUUUUCUGGAAAACUGUUAUGUUGAACAUUACUGGAAUUGUUCAAUACUGCCAGAAAAAGUAAAAGACUACAUCCAUUAUAGGCAGAAAGAAGCUAGAGCAGUUGUCACCCUACAACCUUCAAGAUUGAACAGUGAACAACAGAAAGGGGGGAUUAGUAACCAGAGACCCUCCAGGACCAGUUCAACUGACCCAUCUGAUCCACAGAUUCCUCUCCUCAGGUCUCGGGUCUGUCAUUUGGAUCCAGUCAAGAACACCGCAUACCUCAGAGGAUGGAGAAGCUAUAAACUGCAGCUAAUCCAGGUUCCUGAAUACACAGAAAAGCAUCCCAUAGCUAUUUCCAGCUCCAGAAGUAUCCAGAGAGGAGAGGAUAUCCAGCUAUGAACAUCGAUCAACCUGAACAAGUCAAAGAUCUGUCGGGAAGGAAGAGAAUGGAUGUCAUGAUGUCAAAAAGCAAUAUUGCCACAGCUGCCAAUAUGGGAGAAAUCAUAUAGAAAAGAAAUCUCUGUGAUACAUUUAUUAAAUUCCAGAUAACUGUAAAACCUCAAUGUGAAAAGCAAAGGCUUCAAAUUUUCAGAAGAAAACAUUGAAGGACAUCUUUAUGAGAUUGGUGUAGAAAAUAAUGUCUUAAACCAAAUACCAGAACACCUUCCCUAAAGGAAUGGAUUGGCAAUUGAAUUGCAUAAAAAUACACAUAUUUUGUACGAGAAAAGCACUGUGAUUAUUCGGGAAAGUAUAUAAACUGUGCAAUUAAGCCACAGAGCUUUUCCUUGUCUCUCGUUGAAGCUUCCCUUAGAGAAAUUUUCAUUCAUGCUAAAAAAUUGUUCAAUUCACGACAUGAUUCAUCGUAAAGUGUGCUUUGUGAAGACUGUCUUUAAUGCAUUAAUUUAUAUGCUUCUCUCUUUUGCCUUUUUAUGCCUGUUUAAAAACCCAUACCAGAUGGAAUUACAUUUAUUCAAUUGUUUAAAAUAUGGCAAGUAGUGAAUCUUAACCAUAGA